rnacentral:rRNA from 1 species
AACGAACGCUGGCGGCGUGCCUAACACAUGCAAGUCGAGCGCGAAAAGGGCAACCUGAGUAGAGCGGCGCACGGGUGCGUAACACGUGGGCAAUCUGCCUUAGAGUCGAGGAUAACCUUCCGAAAGGUUGGCUAAUACUCGGUAAGCUUACGGUGUCUUCGGACGCUGUGGGAAAAGUAGGCCUCUGUUUACAAGCUUACGCUCUGAGAUGAGCCCGCGGCCCAUCAGCUAGUUGGCGGUGUAACGGACCACCAAGGCAACGACGGGUAGCUGGUCUGAAAGGACGAUCAGCCCCACUGGAACUGAGACACGGUCCAGACUCCUACGGGAGGCAGCAGUGGGGAAUUUUCCACAAUGGGCGAAAGCCUGAUGGAGCAACGCAGCGUGUGUGAUGAAGGUUUUCGGAUCGUAAAGCACUUUCGACCGGGACGAAAAACCUCUGGCUAACAUCCAGGGGCCUGACGGUACCGGGAGAAGAAGCACCGGCUAACUCUGUGCCAGCAGCCGCCGUAA